UCCAUGGUAUCGAAAUGUUAAAAAUAAAUUUUGUAAAAUUUAACCUAAUGACUUUUAUUACAUAUGAUCAUAUCCAAUUAAUCCAAAUGGAUUCUUUGAUAAAACUCUCCCGUGAUUUUUUAAAACUUACAAAUAAUUCAAAUUAUAAAAUGCUUUCCAUCAUUAUUGCUUAGACUAUUCUUCUGAAAACCAACCUCUGAUCUAAAACUGAAUUAUAUAGCUGCCCCAUAAUUCAGAAUUAUUGACCUUCGAAAUGCAACGGCUGAAUAAUUUGGUUCACAUGUUUCCCUUGAUUCGUAGGACACUUCUAUAACAGAGGCGGUUGAAGUGAUUUCCAAGAAAAUUUUGUCCAUCAUCCUCAUGUCACGACGCUCUUUUAACAUAAAUGAGUACUACAAUAUUUUCUUUUACAAGAGUAUAGCACUAAAUUUAUAUUUAUUAUUAAGCUU
rnacentral:lncRNA from 1 species